rnacentral:rRNA from 1 species
UACGAGAGGCGCAAACGUUAUUCGGAAUUACUGGGCUUAAAGAGUUCGUAGGCGGCGCGGAAAGUAGGGUGUGAAAGCCCUCGGCUCAACCGAGGAAUUGCGCUCUAAACUGCCGUGCUUGAGGAACCUAGAGGUGAGCAGAACUGAUGGUGGAGCGGUGAAAUUCGUAGAUAUUCGGAGGAACACCAGUGGCGAGGGCGGCUCACUGGUCCGGUACUGACGCUGAGGUGCGAAAGCGUGGGGAGCAAACAGG